GGGCGGUUAGCGCAGCGGUAGCGCACUUGCUUCACACGCAAGGGGUCACUGGUUCAAAUCCAGUACCGCCCACCA
rnacentral:tRNA from 1 species